rnacentral:rRNA from 1 species
UACAGAGGUCUCAAGCGUUGUUCGGAUUCAUUGGGCGUAAAGGGUGCGCAGGUGGCGCGGCAAGUCGGAUGUGGAAAUCCCGGGGCUCAACCCCGGAACUGCAUUCGAUACUGCCGUGCUAGAGUGCUGGAGAGGAGAUUGGAAUUUACGGUGAGCAGUGAAAUGCGUAGAUAUCGUAAGGAAGACCAGUGGCGAAGGCGGACUGCUGGACAGCUACUGACACUGAGGCACGAAGGCCAGGGGAGCAAACGG